ACGGGUGCGUAACGCGUGGGAAUCUGCCCUUGGGUUCGGAAUAACAGUUAGAAAUGACUGCUAAUACCGGAUGAUGUCUUCGGACCAAAGAUUUAUCGCCCAAGGAUGAGCCCGCGUAAGAUUAGCUAGUUGGUGGGGUAAUGGCCCACCAAGGCGACGAUCUUUAGCUGGUCUGAGAGGAUGAUCAGCCACACUGGGACUGAGACACGGCCCAGACUCCUACGGGAGGCAGCAGUGGGGAAUAUUGGACAAUGGGCGAAAGCCUGAUCCAGCAAUGCCGCGUGAGUGAUGAAGGCCUUAGGGUUGUAAAGCUCUUUUACCAGGGAUGAUAAUGACAGUACCUGGAGAAUAAGCUCCGGCUAACUCCGUGCCAGCAGCCGCGGUAAUACGGAGGGAGCUAGCGUUGUUCGGAAUUACUGGGCGUAAAGCGUACGUAGGCGGUUAUUCAAGUCAGAGGUGAAAGCCCGGGGCUCAACCCCGGAACGGCCUUUGAAACUAGGUAGCUAGAGUCUUGGAGAGGUUAGUGGAAUUCCGAGU
rnacentral:rRNA from 1 species